rnacentral:lncRNA from 1 species
AUUGACAGUUCAAAAAUUAUUUCCCCUCCGAUUUCGAUCUGUCAAAAAUAAGUCUACUCCAGAGGAGACUUAUUUUUGACAGAUCGUGAAUCAUUCGCAUCCAGUGGAACAUCGCUAGAUUGUUAUCAUCAAGUUAAUCUGAUUGGCAUUACAUACGGGCAUUACGUUUUGAGGACUGAUUUUUUCUAUUUAAAAUGGAACCACAAAAUAAGAAAAUAAGCCGAAAAGCAUUGCAGUGCAGACGAUAGGUUUAGCAAGCGGCAUUUGCUCGGACUUCAUUAUAAAAUCUGUCGCUGAAACCUCACGUUAUCGGCCGAGAUGAUCCCGCAGAGCAUUUUUUAAGUUUUCGAGUGGGCGAUGGUUGCAGACGAGAGUGGUUAAAAGAGUAAACUGCAUGAUGCUGAGUUUCCCGAGGAGUUGCUUCAAACAGAAAUCUCGAAAAGCACUAUUACCACACCACCAAACGAAGAAAAGUGCAGUUUCGGCGGAGUCAGGAGCAAACAAUCGCGCAUAAACCAUGCUCAGCACGUUGUGGGUGGAUCUACUUUGUUUGAGGCAGAUAUUCCACAGAUAGUGCGAAUUCCAACGUUCAGGAAAAUAUGUAGGGGAUCAUCGAAAGCUCUUCUCGCUAUAAAGAAGCCUGCUUUCUUUUUAAAAGAAAAGGAACAGAAAAGAAUGGCCAAUAGGGAAAUCGUUUCCAUUCGUAAAACCAAAUUUACCAACAUUGAAACUCAAAACGGAAGCAGUGGGUUCUGGCGUUACGGUUUAACGGUGACAUAGCUUGUUUCUCAACUCAUUAUUCUCUGGGAACAUCUACAACUAUUAAAUAUGAACUGUAUUUGCCAAUUGGUCAUUGUAUCAUAUGUCGAAUGCCAGUCACAGGGCUGGUAGCAAGUCUCUUUUAAGAGAUUGAAUAUUUUAAUGCGAGUUUCCAUAAAGUUUCUAUUAUCAAUCGCAGAUCUUCAAAAUUUCUUUUCAGUCAAAAUAGUCUCUAAAGUCAUAUGCUUCUUCUUUCCCCUUGCAUUGAAUCUUGGUGCAUGAUUCUAGAGACUCCAGAAUCCUUCAGAAGCUCUUACGUGCCUAUACCACCGUUUCACCAGGAAUUCAUUAUCAGGUUUCUCAAUAAAAAGCUUUGGGAACUUUUCUUAUGAUUUCUUCAAUGAUUUCAUCUAAAAUCAUUUCGUAAACUUUUUAGUGCAUCCCUCGAAACACUACUCUAGAUUCCUCAUCAAUUCUCUCAGGAAUUUGGCCAGAGUUUUUUUUUUUUCAAAGUAUGCUUAGAGAAAGUGUUCUCCAGUUAUUUCCACAGGGGCCAUUCUGAAAAAAUUCCCGGUAUUUCCCAAUUGUCUCCAGCACACUCCGGGAUUUCUCCUAGAUAUGUUUCCAUUAGAAAUUUGUUUAAGCAAUUUUCUAAAGAAAUUCUACAAUUCUUCCAGGAGUUACUACCCCGAUUUUGGCAGUUAUUCUCCCUGGAAUCGGCCCAAAAGUUCCUCCAUGGAUCAUUUCACUAAACCUAUUAAGAACUCUGCUAGUAAAUCAUAAUAAAAAGAUGUGAAUUCCUUAUUAAUCCCUCUACUAGCAGCAUAUUUUUUUGUACAAUAAAAAUAUUUAAAUCGCGAUGACUUUUUUUGUUUUUUGAUACACUGGCACCAUUUUUUCAUUGACCCAAUCAAAUUUUCAUACGUAUCUCUUAUAUUGUACGAAUACCAUCAAAUCAGGCCUGACCAACCUCUUUCAACCGUAGGUGAAAUUUCUGAACCAUUUUUGUGUGUGGCGGGCCAUACUAUUUGAUGUACAAAUAUUCGUAUGAAAUCUCGCAAAAAUCAGAAAAUGAAGGAAAUAAUUUCAGAAAAAAAUGAAAGAAUAUAAUUGCUGCUCAGCAUCAUGCUAGAUAUUGUGAUAGUCUUUUUUGAAAUUAUGCAAUAAUCUUGCCCAGGUUAUUUUUUAAAAACCUAAGUCAGAUUUAAGAGCAGAACAGCUGGAGACAUUAAAAUACUAAUGGACAAUAAUUUAAAUUUAGCUGUGAAAAAAAAAUAUUAAUUUGAAACUACACUGAGAAUAAUCCACAGCUAGUUUCUAUGUGCCGCAAACAUAUUUUUGCAAUCAAGCUGUGCAUUUGCAUUUUAACAGUUCCGCACUUCCUUUCGAUUAUUACUAAUAUAAUAUAUGUGCUACUGCACAUAUUUUCUACCUAACUGGUAGAUUUUAUAUGCAAUCUUCUAGGAGGAGUGUAUAUGUGCGCACUGUUAGAAGUUAUCUACAAAAAACAUAUGGAUGUUUAACAAUGAUAUUACGUGCGGAUUAUUUUAGGUGUAGGACUUUGAAUAAUUUAUGUUUUUGAGUAGAUUAGUAAAAAUAAUUUAAAUAAUUACCGAGCUGAAAUCUAAAACAAUUGGUAUGUUCUUACUCGAAGUAAGUGGUUGUGGUCUACUGGCCAAUACGUUUGAGAAGAAUCUUCAAACCCACCGCUUUCCGGACGUUUGACAGUCCUGCAUUAAAUAAAUGACCAGGUGAUAUUUUAUU